rnacentral:rRNA from 1 species
GACGAACGCUGGCGGCGUGCUUAACACAUGCAAGUCGAACGGAAAGGCCCUGCUUUUGUGGGGUGCUCGAGUGGCGAACGGGUGAGUAACACGUGAGUAACCUGCCCUUUACUUUGGGAUAACUUCAGGAAACUGGGGCUAAUACCGGAUAGGAGCUCCUGCUGCAUGGUGGGGGUUGGAAAGUUUCGGCGGUUGGGGAUGGACUCGCGGCUUAUCAGCUUGUUGGUGGGGUAGUGGCUUACCAAGGCUUUGACGGGUAGCCGGCCUGAGAGGGUGACCGGCCACAUUGGGACUGAGAUACGGCACAGACUCCUACGGGAGGCAGCAGUGGGGAAUAUUGCACAAUGGGCGGAAGACUGAUGCAGCAACGCCGCGUGCGGGAUGACGGCCUUCGGGUUGUAAACCGCUUUCGCCUGUGACGAAGCGUGAGUGACGGUAAUGGGUAAAGAAGCACCGGCUAACUACGUG